AGAGUCUCUCUCUAGCCUUGGAGGCAGAAGGACUUAGCUGCCUGGGAAUAAGAAACUUGAAGCAGAGCCGUGCUGGGGAAGGGCAAGAGGAGCUGGGGAGCUCAAGCCUGGCAACUCCCCAGGCUGAGGCCUUGACAAAGGCCUAUGCAGGUGACAUACAGUCAGUUUCAGCCUGCUAUAUCUACCCAUUCCCAAGGAGUGGAGUCAUAGAGGUUGCAGCACACAUCUGCUAUAUAUGCCAAUCAGCAUCUGGAGAAUGAAUUCCCAGAAGACACUGAACAUCCUUCAAUUACUUCUUGAGCACCUUCACUGACAGCUUAGGUGAGGGAAAAGGAAGCUUGCUAACUGUCUGAGAGACAGCUGUUGAAGUCUUAAUGGGCCAAAGAGUCAGUAACUGAUCUCUUUUUGGCAACUGACAACUGUUGAUAAGAGCUCAACCUGGCAGAGGAAAUGAAAGCAGGGCACAUUGGACUGCAGAACUCUCCACCAAACCCAAGUCUCAGGUUACCCACCAACCUCUGCCAAACACUCCCCACGCUUCAGAAGUGUUUCUAUCACUUCCUUAUUCACCAGAAUAUCUUCCCUUUAUUCCAGACAAGUUGUGUCUACCCAGAAAACAUCACUGAAUGUCAGAAAUAAUGUUUUAAAGCCAUGUCCUGCCUUUUUAAAUGCACACUGCUACAGGAUAGAAAACAAGCACUUGGACAAGAAGUGAAGAGAGACAAUCUAUUAAAGGAAAAUGACUGUGGAAAAAAUUGGACCCUCUCAAACACUCUUACAUAAACUAAUGUGGAGCCUUUAGCCACGAUGAAUCAUUGCUCUGUUUAUGUAUGCUACCAAUAGGAAGAUUUAGGAUCCCAAGUUGUUUCACAAAGUCAGCCUUAUUCCAUUUAAUCUUCAUCAGUGCUUCUGUCUUCCAUCUUCUCUUCAAAGUGUUUAAUGAAAAAGAAAAUGUAUAAUCAGAUAAUUUUCAAGAAUUAUUUUUGCUAUUAA